AUUGAACGCUGGCGGCAGGCCUAACACAUGCAAGUCGAACGAGCGGCGGACGGGUGAGUAAUGUCUGGGAAACUGCCUGAUGGAGGGGGAUAACUACUGGAAACGGUAGCUAAUACCGCAUACCAUCGGAUGUGCCCAGAUGGGAUUAGCUAGUAGGUGGGGUAAUGGCUCACCUAGGCGACGAUCCCUAGCUGGUCUGAGAGGAGGACCAGCCACACUGUAACUGAGACACGGUCCAGACUCCUACGGGAGGCAGCAGUGGGGAAUAUUGCACAAUGGGCGCAAGCCUGAUGCAGCCAUGCCGCGUGUAUGAAGAAGGCCUUCGGGUUGUAAAGCACUUUCAGCGGGGAGGCGUUACCCGCAGAAGAAGCACCGGAUAACUCCGUGCCAGCAGCCGCGGUAAUAC
rnacentral:rRNA from 1 species